CACGUAGGGGGCAAGCGUUGUCCGGAUUUAUUGGGCGUAAAGAGCUCGUAGGCGGUUCGGUAAGUCGGGUGUGAAACCUCCAGGCUCAACCUGGAGACGCCACCCGAUACUGCUGUGACUAGAGUCCGGUAGGGGAGCGUGGAAUUCCUGGUGUAGCGGUGAAAUGCGCAGAUAUCAGGAGGAACACCAGCGGCGAAGGCGGCGCUCUGGGCCGGAACUGACGCUGAGGAACGAAAGCCAGGGGAGCAAACGGG
rnacentral:rRNA from 1 species